ensembl:snoRNA
GGAGAAGCAAACUGAUGAGCAUUGCUGGCUGGAGCUCCAAAGAGGCGUGUGUGUGUGUGUGUGUGUAUGUAUGUGUGUCCUUGUCUGUGCAUGCACACGUGUGUGUCGGAGUACGAAUGCGUGUGACUGGUUUUAGGGAACUAGUUAUGUGCCUGCUUUUGGACCAUGACAGUCAAACUGAUAAGAUCUGAUUGCUUC